rnacentral:rRNA from 1 species
UUACACAUGCAAGUCGAACGGCAGCACGGGGGCAACCCUGGUGGCGAGUGGCGAACGGGUGAGUAACAUAUCGGAACGUGCCCUGGAGUGGGGGAUAACUAGUCGAAAGAUUAGCUAAUACCGCAUACGAUCUACGGAUGAAAGUGGGGGAUCGCAAGACCUCAUGCUCGUGGAGCGGCCGAUAUCUGAUUAGCUAGUUGGUGGGGUAAAGGCCUACCAAGGCAUCGAUCAGUAGCUGGUCUGAGAGGACGACCAGCCACACUGGGACUGAGACACGGCCCAGACUCCUACGGGAGGCAGCAGUGGGGAAUUUUGGACAAUGGGCGCAAGCCUGAUCCAGCAAUGCCGCGUGAGUGAAGAAGGCCUUCGGGUUGUAAAGCUCUUUUGUCAGGGAAGAAACGGUUCGGGUUAAUACCUUGGGCUAAUGACGGUACCUGAAGAAUAAGCACCGGCUAACUACGUGCCAGCAGCCGCGGUAAUACGUAGGGUGCAAGCGUUAAUCGGAAUUACUGGGCGUAAAGCGUACGCAGGCGGUUGUGCAAGACGGAUGUGAAAUCCCCGGGCUCAACCUGGGAAUUGCAUUUGUGACUGUACGGCUAGAGUGUGUCAGAGGGGGGUAGAAUUCCACGUGUAGCAGUGAAAUGCGUAGAGAUGUGGAGGAAUACCGAUGGCGAAGGCAGCCCCCUGGGAUAACACUGACGCUCAUGCACGAAAGCGUGGGGAGCAAA